AUGGCAAGGCUAGUGAAAGAUGAGAGCCCUGAACUGAGAGGCAGGAGCACUAUACGUCCGGCGGCCGACGGGAAAGAACUCGGCGGCGGCGCGCUCCACCGCGUGCGCCCCCGUCGCCUACCGCGCUCGCAGCUGCCACUGGCGAGCGAGGCGAAGGUACUGGGGCGGCUAGCGUUCCCGGCGCUCCUGGAGGAGGCGUCGGACUACAUUGCUGUGCUGGAGAUGCAGGUCUGGUGUUGCCGCCGACGCCCUCUCGCGACCAGGCAGGGCAGCGAUCGGAGGCGACCAGGCUGCGACGGCAAAUGUAGGAGAACACGCGGAGGCGAACGGGGACUUGCCGAAUGGAGCAGUGAUUCGUGCCCCGCGCGUCGAGGUGGAAGCGCUCCACCAGGUCCUACUCUGCAUGCCGGCCGCCGAGGUGGCCCGCUGCAGCAGCUUCUGCAGGCGUCAUCGCCACGGACGCCUUCCGCCGCGACCACCAGCGCCACUGCUUCCCGCCACCCC
rnacentral:lncRNA from 1 species